UGAUCCUGGCUCAGGAUGAACGCUGGCGGCGUGCCUAAUACAUGCAAGUCGAGCGAACGGACGAGAAGCUUGCUUCUCUGAUGUUAGCGGCGGACGGGUGAGUAACACGUGGAUAACCUACCUAUAAGACUGGGAUAACUUCGGGAAACCGGAGCUAAUACCGGAUAAUAUUUUGAACCGCAUGGUUCAAAAGUGAAAGACGGUCUUGCUGUCACUUAUAGAUGGAUCCGCGCUGCAUUAGCUAGUUGGUAAGGUAACGGCUUACCAAGGCAACGAUGCAUAGCCGACCUGAGAGGGUGAUCGGCCACACUGGAACUGAGACACGGUCCAGACUCCUACGGGAGGCAGCAGUAGGGAAUCUUCCGCAAUGGGCGAAAGCCUGACGGAGCAACGCCGCGUGAGUGAUGAAGGUCUUCGGAUCGUAAAACUCUGUUAUUAGGGAAGAACAUAUGUGUAAGUAACUGUGCACAUCUUGACGGUACCUAAUCAGAAAGCCACGGCUAACUACGUGCCAGCAGCCGCGGUAAUACGUAGGUGGCAAGCGUUAUCCGGAAUUAUUGGGCGUAAAGCGCGCGUAGGCGGUUUUUUAAGUCUGAUGUGAAAGCCCACGGCUCAACCGUGGAGGGUCAUUGGAAACUGGAAAACUUGAGUGCAGAAGAGGAAAGUGGAAUUCCAUGUGUAGCGGUGAAAUGCGCAGAGAUAUGGAGGAACACCAGUGGCGAAGGCGACUUUCUGGUCUGUAACUGACGCUGAUGUGCGAAAGCGUGGGGAUCAAACAGGAUUAGAUACCCUGGUAGUCCACGCCGUAAACGAUGAGUGCUAAGUGUUAGGGGGUUUCCGCCCCUUAGUGCUGCAGCUAACGCAUUAAGCACUCCGCCUGGGGAGUACGACCGCAAGGUUGAAACUCAAAGGAAUUGACGGGGACCCGCACAAGCGGUGGAGCAUGUGGUUUAAUUCGAAGCAACGCGAAGAACCUUACCAAAUCUUGACAUCCUUUGACAACUCUAGAGAUAGAGCUUUCCCCUUCGGGGGACAAAGUGACAGGUGGUGCAUGGUUGUCGUCAGCUCGUGUCGUGAGAUGUUGGGUUAAGUCCCGCAACGAGCGCAACCCUUAAGCUUAGUUGCCAUCAUUAAGUUGGGCACUCUAAGUUGACUGCCGGUGACAAACCGGAGGAAGGUGGGGAUGACGUCAAAUCAUCAUGCCCCUUAUGAUUUGGGCUACACACGUGCUACAAUGGACAAUACAAAGGGCAGCGAAACCGCGAGGUCAAGCAAAUCCCAUAAAGUUGUUCUCAGUUCGGAUUGUAGUCUGCAACUCGACUACAUGAAGCUGGAAUCGCUAGUAAUCGUAGAUCAGCAUGCUACGGUGAAUACGUUCCCGGGUCUUGUACACACCGCCCGUCACACCACGAGAGUUUGUAACACCCGAAGCCGGUGGAGUAACCUUUUAGGAGCUAGCCGUCGAAGGUGGGACAAAUGAUUGGGGUGAAGUCGUAACAAGGUAGCCGUAUCGGAAGGUGCGGCUGGAUCACCUCCUUU
rnacentral:rRNA from 1 species